rnacentral:tRNA from 1 species
GCCCGGGUGGCGGAAUGGGUAGACGCAAGGGACUUAAAAUCCCUCGCCUGUAAAGGCGUGCCGGUUCGACUCCGGCCCCGGGCACCA